UCUUACGCCCAUCUGCCAUCCCUGUCCACAAUGCCAUAGCAAAUCCAAAACCCAAUUGAAGGUAACAGCGCUCACUGUUGCCACUAGUGGCCGGUUUCCAUGUCAUCUUCCGACUUCCUCAGACAUGGAUGGACGUGGAAUACUGACUGGUAUCACGGGGGACCUGGCUGGUACAGACAGAAAUACCCAUCAGUUUCAUCAGCUGCCUGGGUGGCUGGUCUCAGAUGAUCCCUCAGGGGAAGAAGUCGGAUGUAGAGGUCCUGGGCUGGCGUGGUUACACACGGACUGCAUUUUGUGAGGCCGGUUGGAUGUGCUGCCAAAUCCUCUGAAAACGUUGGAGGUGGCUAUGGUAGAGAAAUUAACAUUAAAUUCUCUGACAACUCUGGUGGACAUUCCUGCAGUCAACAUGCCAAUUGCACACUCUUUCAAAACUUGAGACAUCUGCGGCAUUGUGUUGUGUGGCAUUGUGUUGUGUAACAAAACUGCACAUUUUAGAGUGGCCCUUUAUUGUCCCCAGCACAAAGUGCACCUGUGUAAUGAUCAUGAUGUUUAAUCAGCUUCUUGAUAUGCUACAUCCCUCAGGUGGAUGGAUUAUCUUGGCAAAGGGGAAAUGCGCACUAACAGGGAUGUAAAUAAAAAUGUGUGCACAACA